rnacentral:rRNA from 1 species
UACGUAGGGGGCAAGCGUUGUCCGGAAUCAUUGGGCGUAAAGAGCGCGUAGGCGGCCCUGUAAGUCCGCUGUGAAAGUCAAGGGCUCAACCCUUGAAUGCCGGUGGAUACUGCAGGGCUAGAGUCCGGAAGAGGCGAGUGGAAUUCCUGGUGUAGCGGUGAAAUGCGCAGAUAUCAGGAAGAACACCAAUGGCGAAGGCAGCUCUCUGGGACGGUACUGACACUGAGACGCGAAAGCGUGGGGAGCGAACAGG